CUACUAACUUUCCUCACAACUGAAAGUGCUUUACAACCCGAAGGCCUUCUUCACACACGCGGCAUGGCUGCAUCAGGGUUUCCCCCAUUGUGCAAUAUUCCCC
rnacentral:rRNA from 1 species